rnacentral:rRNA from 1 species
UACGUAGGUGGCAAGCGUUGUCCGGAUUUACUGGGCGUAAAGAGCGCGCAGGCGGUCUUGCAAGUCGCGUGUGAAAGCCCCCGGCUCAACUGGGGAGGGUCACGCGAUACUGCUCGACUCGAAGGCAGGAGAGGGAAGUGGAAUUCCCGGUGUAGUGGUGAAAUGCGUAGAUAUCGGGAGGAACACCAGUGGCGAAGGCGACUUCCUGGCCUGUUCUUGACGCUGAGGCGCGAAAGCUAGGGUAGCAAACGGG